GGCUCUGCAUAUUCAUCUAUUAUUAAUAUUCAUUGUAGAAAUCAAAACUUAAGAAUUUGGCAAAUGAUCUCUUCUCUUCUGAGUGUAUGGAUGCCUUGAUACUUUUGGAUCAAAAAGAUUAUAUAUAUAUUGAGAAAUGGUAGAAGAGGGCGGACAACUAACACUGCAAUAUUUCAAGGGUGGAAGAAAUAUAUAUUUUAGUUAUUUAAAGAUUUGAAUUAGUGAUUUGGAAUUUGUUCCACUACAACUAGUCACGAAUGAAGUAUAAGUUGGAAUUAUAUUUAUUGUAAUAGAAAACUCAUUACUAUGAGAUAUUGUACAUUUAUAUGAAAUAAAAAAUAUUUGGCAUAA